AUGCCUUCCUGGAACGACGAGGAAACCAGCUCGGAGGAGGAGUGCGAGGUUGUCAGCAUGGACAUGGGACUUAUGGAGGAACCAGACACCACUGUGGAGCCCCUUUUCUGUGGCCAACUUGAGCUUGCUCAUCCCAAGUGCAUUCUGCACCAACUGAGGCCUAUUAAGCGUGUUGCUUUUGAAGGGCCUGAAAAUGGUGUGAAUUGUGGUGUUGUAGAGUGGGUUGAUGGGCCUUGGCCAACUGUUCUUCAGAGAUGUCUGUGCAAGCUAUGGGAGAUGUUCCAUGAGCAGAACUUUGGAAGGGUACAGGACAAGCAAAAGUUUGAGAAGGAGUUGGCCAGGCUUAAGAGUGAACAUGAAAGGGAGUUGGCCAAGCUUAGGACUGAAAAUGACAAGCUUUGCAUUGAGUACACCAAGCUUGUUGAUGAUGUAUCCAAGAUGUUUGAUUGGCAGGAUGGUAGGGUGGACAAGAAGGUGUACCAGAAACAAGUGGAGGAGGAAGAACUUGAGAAGAAGAAGAAGGAGCUAGAGGAGAAAGCUAUGUUGGAGGUGCAGAUGGAAAAGCUCAAACUUGCAAAAGAGCAGAGGAAGGCUGUUGAAGUUGACAGAGAUGUUCUUAAGAAGGAGAAGGCAAAGCUUGAGCUUGUUGUUGCUGAGCUGCUGAAAGAAGGGUAUGGCAGCAAGGAGAAGUUAGAGCAAAUCAAGGCCAUCCUUGAGUCUUGA
rnacentral:rRNA from 1 species